UAGCGUAUAUUAAAGUUGUUGCGGUUAAAAAGCUCGUAGUUGGAUUUCUGUGGUAGGCAGCCGGUCCGCACUAUGUGCGAGUAUCUGGUUCGGCUACUGCAUCCUCCUGAAGAACGUUGGUGCGCUUCACUGCGUGGCACGGUAUUCAGGACUUUUACUUUGAGGAAAUUAGAGUGUUCACGGCAGGCGCUUGCCCUGAAUAUAUUAGCAUGGAAUAACACUAUAGGACUCCGGUUAAUAGGGAUAAUUGGGGGCACUCGUAUCAUGACGUC
rnacentral:rRNA from 1 species